GUAAACGGAGCGAAGCUGUUAGUACGACAGGAGUUCGAUAGAAAGUCGAUAGAAAAUGGUGUAGAUACAGAGACGUUUCACUUAGUUUUACCAAAGACUAAUGGUGUAUGUACAUGGGUGUGAAUGUGUUUGUGUAUGGUGAAUUACAACGAUGAGCGCGUAUACAUUUGGGUGCAAAAUCGGUCGUGUGUACAAGAGAAGAGUGUUAAUGCCGUUCUCCCGGGAACGCGCACUCCGAGCUUAUGCGGUUACGGGGUUUCGUUUAGCGAAUUGCGUCGAUACGGAGUAACAAUUGAGCCUUUCAUGUGUAAUACAACGAUAACGGUGGCAGCAGCACGGUGCAAUUUUCGAAGCAAGCUUAUCCGCCUUCUCUUGGCCGUGAAAGCGUUCGAAUGUAACAGAUCCCGGCACUGUAUGGCUCUGUGGGUGUGUGGGUGUGAGUGUAGAAAGUGCUGAAGGGAACGGGGGAAUACGGUAUGCAUCAAGGUGAGUCCGUAUUGGCAAAUUGGUGCAUACAACAGCAUAAUCCGUGAACAAGAUAAUAUACAAAAUGUAAUGCAAACUAUUGCGAGAACUGGUAAGGGGCUACAGUGAAACACGCUAGUCAAAAUUGGCAAAGCAUAGCAAGCGCUGCUAGAAGAAACCCCGCGGCAGAAGCGCCAGACCGAGGAGGAGGAGGACCUACGAAAGGAAGAACAAAAAAUGGCCUUUUCAGGUGGACUACAGACGGCAAACGGGAUCUUCUAGGCGCAUGCUCUCGGCUAAGUGACGGUGCAAUCAACUUGCAGAUGCUUCACCAUCGCUCCCGUUGCUGUAAAAUGUGUUUUCCGAUGUGGAAUUAAAGUCAGUUCGAGACGGCAAAGAUGAAAUGGAAGAUGAAAUUUAAUUUAUGGCUUCAGUUGUCGGUCUGUUGGGUCUGCUCCUGCUCCCUGCUCGAAAAAAAGCUCAUUUUCGAGAACGGAACCCACUGUCACGGUCAACCAUCGGUUGGUGGCCACACAUGAAAGCAACCCAUGUGGGUGUGUGUCUGUGUGGGGGCUAUGACAACUGGCCUGUCAUCGGAGCGGAAGGCAAAUGUUUCAUUAAAACUCAUCGUCAGCGUGCCGCACAGAUGUACAAGAGGUGAAAGAGAAAGGUCGUGGGUGCAUGUGUCUGCCCCUGGUGCUUCUGGUGGUGGUGAUACUGCUACUGCUGCUGCUGCUGCUGACGGCGAUGAUGAUCGUAAUAAGUGGAGCAUUAUUUUGCGGUUCUACCAUACUGCCCAAAAGCUGUCUGAGGUUUUUUUUAUUUUUUUUUUCUUGCCGCCUGUUGGGUUGGAAGCGGUUGAAAGGUGGACGAGAUGUGGGUGAACCGCCCACAAUCAAGCAAACCAAAAUGAAGCACCCAAUUUGGAGGGGUAGUCCUUUUAUCCGGGAUGAAGAGAACCUGGGGCUCAGGGUACGGCGGGAGGGAUAGGGAGACACGGAUGUUUAAUAUGCAAGCACUUUUCUUUUGGCACCGGCACCGGCACUGGCAGAGCCCGCUUCGCAUCUCGCGUACUGUGGGUAGGUGGCAAUGAGCGAGGAAAAUAAUAAUAGCGAGAAAGAAAGAGAAGAGAGAGUGGGUGAGAGUCUCUUUUUACCGUAUACCCAUGGGAGGCUGUGGCCUGUGGAUUAAGGAAGCGCAUCGUAUGGUUUGCGUAUUCGAGCGGGAGCAAAACGGGGCGGGCAGCUACCCGGUGGAGACGGCCGGGCGUGAGGACCUUAUUUAUUUAUAGGAUUCGACUGCAGUAGCAGUAGUCGAAAUUUUGUACCGGCCGCAGCAAUUUGAGGCACAUCGAGCUCGAAAUGAAAUGAAUAAAUGAACGCCAGAGGGUGCUGGCCCCGUCCGGGGAUAUUUUUUUUUUUUGAAACAGGAGAUUGCAUUCUGUGGUUACGGAGUUCGGACCUCCACCAAAUGUCGGGCGGGUCGGGGAGCAUUUUAAAGGUUGGCAAACACCUGCAGAAGCACUAGAAGCUUGACAGCGGAGGGUGGCACAAAUGAGAAAACAGCACGGUGAGCUAAUCCGGCUGAGUGUUUCCCCCAUGGGGCGAAGGGUGCUCGCGGGGCUAAAGAUGAUGAAGCCGCUGCUGGUGUCAUAAGCCCGGGGUUCAAGGUGUGUGCUUUUAAUAACACUGGGUCUUUAAUCGAUGCAGCAAAAAUCCCCACGGGUGGGGAGGAAGGGGAACCUUGUCGGGGGUAACACAACACACAAGAGCCACUGAACCGUGGGUGAGAUUUUCCGUAUUGCGGAUUUUAUUACUUUUUUUUGUCUGUCCCGUCGGCUGCCAUCGUCAUCGUUGUCUUUGUUGUUAUUAUUACUGUGUUUUCUUGUUUUUUUUUUGGACGAUGAGGGU